UGAGUAACACGUAUCCAACCUGCCGUCUACUCUUGGACAGCCUUCUGAAAGGAAGAUUAAUCCAGGAUGGCAUCAUGAGUUCACAUGUCCGCAUGAUUAAAGGUAUUUUCCGGUAGACGAUGGGGAUGCGUUCCAUUAGAUAGUAGGCGGGGUAACGGCCCACCUAGUCAACGAUGGACAAGGGUUCUGAGAGGAAGGUCCCCCACAUUGGAACUGAGACACGGUCCAA
rnacentral:rRNA from 1 species